UGAUGUGUAGGAUAGGUGGGAGGCUUUGAAGCGUGGACGCCAGUCUGCGUGGAGCCAACCUUGAAAUACCACCCUUUAAUGUUUGAUGUUCUAACGUUGGCCCCUUACCGGGGUUGCGGACAGUGUCUGGUGGGUAGUUUGACUGGGGCGGUCUCCUCCCAAAGCGUAACGGAGGAGCACGAAGGUUAGCUAAUCCUGGUCGGACAUCAGGAGGUUAGUGCAAUGGCAUAAGCUAGCUUGACUGCGAGCGUGACGGCGCGAGCAGGUGCGAAAGCAGGUCAUAGUGAUCCGGUGGUUCUGAAUGGAAGGGCCAUCGCUCAACGGAUAAAAGGUACUCCGGGGAUAACAGGCUGAUACCGCCCAAGAGUUCAUAUCGACGGCGGUGUUUGGCACCUCGAUGUCGGCUCAUCACAUCCUGGGGCUGAAGUAGGUCCCAAGGGUAUGGCUGUUCGCCAUUUAAAGUGGUACGCGAGCUGGGUUUAGAACGUCGUGAGACAGUUCGGUCCCUAUCUGCCGUGGGCGCUGGAGAAUUGAGGGGGGCUGCUCCUAGUACGAGAGGACCGGAGUGGACGCAUCACUGGUGUUCGGGUUGUCAUGCCAAUGGCACUGCCCGGUAGCUAAAUGCGGAAGAGAUAAGUGCUGAAAGCAUCUAAGCACGAAACUUGCCCCGAGAUGAGUUCUCCCUGAGACUU
rnacentral:rRNA from 1 species